UACGUAGGGUGCGAGCGUUGUCCGGAAUUAUUGGGCGUAAAGAGCUCGUAGGUGGUUUGUCGCGUUGUUCGUGAAAACCGGGGGCUUAACCCUCGGCGUGCGGGCGAUACGGGCAGACUUGAGUACUGCAGGGGAGACUGGAAUUCCUGGUGUAGCGGUGGAAUGCGCAGAUAUCAGGAGGAACACCGGUGGCGAAGGCGGGUCUCUGGGCAGUAACUGACGCUGGAGGAGCGAAAGCAUGGGGAGCGAACAGG
rnacentral:rRNA from 1 species